rnacentral:rRNA from 1 species
ACGGAAGGCAGCAGUGGGGAAUAUUGGGCAAUGGGCGCAAGCCUGACCCAGCAACGCCGCGUGAAGGAAGAAGGCUUUCGGGUUGUAAACUUCUUUUGUAAGGGACGGGAAGAAGACGGUACCUUAUGAAUAAGCCACGGCUAACUACGUGCCAGCAGCCGCGGUAAUACGUAGGUGGCAAGCGUUAUCCGGAUUUACUGGGUGUAAAGGGCGCGUAGGCGGGGAUGCAAGUCAGAUGUGAAAUCUAUGGGCUCAACUCAUAAACUGCAUUUGAAACUGUAUCUCUUGAGUGCUGGAGAGGUAGACGGAAUUCCUUGUGUAGCGGUGAAAUGCGUAGAUAUAAGGAAGAACACCGGUGGCGAAAGCGGUCUACUGGACAGUAACUGACGCUGAGGCGCGAGAGCGUGGGGAGCAAACAGGAUUAGAUACCCUGGUA